UUGAUUACGUCCCUGCCCUUUGUACACACCGCCCGUCGCUGCCCGGGACUGAGCCAUUUCGAGAAACUUGGGGAUUGUUGAUUUUGCGGUUUUCGGAUCGCUUCAUCGAUGAGAACCAAUUUAAUCGCAGUGGCUUGAACCGGGCAAAAGUCGUAACAGGGUGGCUGUAGGUGAACCUGCUGCCGGAUCAUUACCCAUGUAUUGAUCACAUACACACUUUUGUGUGCAUCCAUGUAGAUUGCCGCUAUUGUCUGGUUGGCGGUGGUCCGAUUAAUUAGCAUGUAUUAGGCGCUUGUAUUAGGGGUUAGUAAUCGAGCCAUUGUGUCUAAUGUGGUUCAUGCUAACCCGCCCGCCGAAUGCAUGCUAUGAAGUCGAUGGUUGUCACUUUACCUUACAUGGACCGAGCCUAUGAUAUGGUCAGUGUCUUUUGACCCGCUUUGUUGGAUGAUGUUUGCCUAUAAUGUCAGUCUAGCUUAGCGUUCAUAAGGCCUAACGGCUUUGCUGGCGUCUAUGCGUGGUUGAGCAGUUGUUGUCUCUCCGUCCGUGGCUGUGAUGAGACCGCGCGUUAGGGCCCAUGCCUUGUCUCUGGCAUGUUGGCUUAAGACUUGAUGAGCGCGUUGUAUUGCGCCGCCAGUAUCCAUUUUUUUAUUACUUUUUUUUAUUUGAACCAAGAAAUUCAAGUCUUAUCGGUGGAUCACUCGGCUCGUAGAUCGAUGAAGAACGCAGCUAACUGCGAUAAUUAGUGUGAACUGCAGAAACCUUGAACACGAAAAUUUCGAAUGCACAUUGCGCCAUUGGAGCAGUAUCCUUUGGCAUGCUUUGUUCAGGGUCGCAAUUAAAAAGCGCUUGCUUAUAGCGUAUAAUAGUGCGUUAGAUCACGUCGUCGUUUAUCGCGGCGUGUUCUUUCGAAGUGAUAAUUUGGCACGUCUUGUCUGGCUCUGGUUUGUCUGGUUUGACUUUGGAUCUAUUGUGUCAGUGUUGUUGUAGUGUCCAUUUGCAGCAACCAUGAUCCAUUGUCCUUCUAUUCAGUGUCUCUUGACGUUGUGUUAGCCAAAGGAAUAAUUGAAUUUUCGACCUGAACUGAAGCGUGAACACCCGCUGAACUUAAGCAUAUCAGUAAGCGGAGGAAAAGAAACUAACAAGGAUUCCCUUAGUAACGGCGAGUGAAA
rnacentral:rRNA from 1 species